rnacentral:rRNA from 1 species
AGUUAGUGGCGAACGGGCGAGUAACACGUUUCUAAUCUACCCCGGAGAUGAGGACAACUACAGAGAUGUAGCUAAACCUCGAUACGCUCAUCAAAAUGAAAAUAUGAUGAGGAAAUAUUUAUAGCUCUGGGACGAGGAAGCGUCCUAUCAGGUAGUUGGUGAGAUAAUAGCCCACCAAGCCUAUGGCGGGUAGCCGGUCUGAGAGGAUGUCCGGCCGCAAUGGAACUGAGACACGGUCCAUACCCCUACGGGGGGCAGCAGUGGGGAAUUUUGGACAAUGGACGAAAGUCUGAUCCAGCAAUUCUGCGUGCAUGAUGAAGGCCUGCGGGUCGUAAAGUGCUUUUUUGAGGGAAAACGACUGAUGGUACCUCAAGAAUAAGGGACGGCUAACUCUGUGCCAGCAGCCGCGGUAAUACAGAGGUCCCAAGCGUUAUCCGGAUUUACUGGGCGUAAAGAGUCCGUAGCUGGCAUUGUAAGUCUUGAUUCAAAUACUCUGACUCACUCAGAGAAAGGGUCAAGAUACUGCAAAGCUCGAGAUCAUAGGGGGUUAGUGGAAUUUCCAGUGGAGGGGUGAAAUCCGUUGAUAUUGGAAAGGAAUGCCGAAAGCGAAAGCAGCUAACUACUAUAUUCUGACAGUCAAGGACGAAAGCUUGGGGAUCGAACGGGAUUAGAUACCCCGGUAGUCCAGCUGUAAAUGAUGUCUGCUAA